rnacentral:rRNA from 1 species
CCUAACACAUGCAAGUCGAACGGUAACAGGAAACAGCUUGCUGUUUCGCUGACGAGUGGCGGACGGGUGAGUAAUGUCUGGGAAACUGCCUGAUGGAGGGGGAUAACUACUGGAAACGGUAGCUAAUACCGCAUAACGUCGCAAGACCAAAGAGGGGGACCCUCGGGCCUCUUGCCAUCGGAUGUGCCCAGAUGGGAUUAGCUUGUUGGUGGGGUAACGGCUCACCAAGGCGACGAUCCCUAGCUGGUCUGAGAGGAUGACCAGCCACACUGGAACUGAGACACGGUCCAGACUCCUACGGGAGGCAGCAGUGGGGAAUAUUGCACAAUGGGCGCAAGCCUGAUGCAGCCAUGCCGCGUGUAUGAAGAAGGCCUUCGGGUUGUAAAGUACUUUCAGCGGGGAGGAAGGGAGUAAAGUUAAUACCUUUGCUCAUUGACGUUACCCGCAGAAGAAGCACCGGCUAACUCCGUGCCAGCAGCCGCGGUAAUACGGAGGGUGCAAGCGUUAAUCGGAAUUACUGGGCGUAAAGCGCACGCAGGCGGUUUGUUAAGUCAGAUGUGAAAUCCCCGGGCUCAACCUGGGAACUGCAUCUGAUACUGGCAAGCUUGAGUCUCGUAGAGGGGGGUAGAAUUCCAGGUGUAGCGGUGAAAUGCGUAGAGAUCUGGAGGAAUACCGGUGGCGAAGGCGGCCCCCUGGACGAAGACUGACGCUCAGGUGCGAAAGCGUG